rnacentral:rRNA from 1 species
UACGUAGGUGGCAAGCGUUGUUCGGAAUUACUGGGCGUAAAGGGCACGUAGGCGGCCCGCUAAGUCGAACGUGAAGUCCCCGAGCUCAACUCGGGAACUGCGUCCGAUACUGGCGGGCUUGAAUCCGGGAGAGGGAUGCGGAAUUCCAGGUGUAGCGGUGAAAUGCGUAGAUAUCUGGAGGAACACCGGUGGCGAAGGCGGCAUCCUGGACCGGUAUUGACGCUGAGGCGCGAAAGCCAGGGGAGCAAACGGG